rnacentral:tRNA from 1 species
GCCUCGGUAGUCUAAAGGCUUAGGACGCUCGCACCGUAUGCAAGAGAUCCGGGUUCGAUUCCUGGCCGAGGUA